rnacentral:rRNA from 2 species
AUCAGCUUGUUGGUGGGGUAAUGGCUCACCAAGGCGACGACGGGUAGCCGGCCUGAGAGGGUGACCGGCCACACUGGGACUGAGACACGGCCCAGACUCCUACGGGAGGCAGCAGUGGGGAAUAUUGCACAAUGGGCGGAAGCCUGAUGCAGCGACGCCGCGUGAGGGAUGACGGCCUUCGGGUUGUAAACCUCUUUCAGUAGGGAAGAAGCGAGAGUGACGGUACCUGCAGAAGAAGCGCCGGCUAACUACGUGCCAGCAGCCGCGGUAAUACGUAGGGCGCAAGCGUUGUCCGGAAUUAUUGGGCGUAAAGAGCUCGUAGGCGGUUUGUCGCGUCUGCUGUGAAAGCCCGGGGCUCAACCCCGGGUCUGCAGUGGGUACGGGCAGACUAGAGUGCAGUAGGGGAGACUGGAAUUCCUGGUGUAGCGGUGAAAUGCGCAGAUAUCAGGAGGAACACCGAUGGCGAAGGCAGGUCUCUGGGCUGUUACUGACGCUGAGGAGCGAAAGCAUGGGGAGCGAACAGGAUUAGAUACCCUGGUAGUCCAUGCCGUAAACGUUGGGCACUAGGUGUGGGGGACAUUCCACGUUUUCCGCGCCGUAGCUAACGCAUUAAGUGCCCCGCCUGGGGAGUACGGCCGCAAGGCUAAAACUCAAAGGAAUUGACGGGGGCCCGCACAAGCGGCGGAGCAUGCGGAUUAAUUCGAUGCAACGCGAAGAACCUUACCAAGGCUUGACAUUCACCGGACCGCCCCAGAGAUGGGGUUUCCCUUCGGGGCUGGUGGACAGGUGGUGCAUGGUUGUCGUCAGCUCGUGUCGUGAGAUGUUGGGUUAAGUCCCGCAACGAGCGCAACCCUCGUUCUAUGUUGCCAGCACGUGAUGGUGGGGACUCAUAGGAGACUGCCGGGGUCAACUCGGAGGAAGGUGGGGAUGACGUCAAAUCAUCAUGCCCCUUAUGUCUUGGGCUUCACGCAUGCUACAAUGGCCGGUACAAAGGGUUGCGAUACUGUGAGGUGGAGCUAAUCCCAAAAAGCCGGUCUCAGUUCGGAUUGAGGUCUGCAACUCGACCUCAUGAAGUCGGAGUCGCUAGUAAUCGCAGAUCAGCAACGCUGCGGUGAAUACGUUCCCGGGCCUUGUACACACCGCCCGU